CACCCGUCCCUACUACUGAUUAAACAGUCCGGGGAGAACCUUGGAUGUGGCCGUCGUCGGUGCAUUCUCUGAUGGUCCGCAGAAGAGUAGCGAACCCGAUUGUAUAGAAGAAGAAAAAGUCGUAACAA
rnacentral:ncRNA from 1 species